rnacentral:rRNA from 1 species
GGCGAACGCUGGCGGCGUACUUAACACAUGCAAGUCGAACGGGGAUCGACACGUGAGCAAUCACGUGGCGGUCUUAGUGGCGUACGGGUGAGUAACACGUGGGCAACCUGCCCUUGAGUCUGGGAUAACCUCCCGAAAGGGAGGCUAAUACCGGAUACGGUCCUCGGGUCGCGAGAUCUGAGGAAGAAAGGUGGCGCAAGCUACCGCUCUUGGAGGGACUCGCGGCCUAUCAGCUAGNGGUGAGGUAACGGCUCACCAAGGCUAUGACGGGUAGCUGGUCUGAGAGGACGACCAGCCACACGGGGGACUGAGACACGGGCCCC